rfam:Isaria fumosorosea ARSEF 2679 scaffold_25, whole genome shotgun sequence.
ACAUACGACCACAGAUAACAGAGAAUUCGGGGUCUCGUCUGCUCCCCCAUAGACAAGCUGUUAAUCGGCAGAUUAGUAGUUGGGUCGGUGACGACCAGCGAACACCGGCUGUUGUAUGUU